UCUGGCUCAGGAUGAACGCUAGCGGCGCGCUUAAUGCAUGCAAGUCGAGCGAUGAGGCCCUCUUCGGGGGGUAAUCAGCGGCAGACGGGUGAGUAACACGUAGGUGAUCUACCCCAGAGACGGGGAUAACGGGUGGAAACAUCCGCUAAUACCGGAUAGGCUUGUUCGGUCAAAGGGACAAGGAAAGGCUCCGGCGCUCUGGGAGGAGCCUGCGGNCCAUCAGCUAGUUGGCGGGGUAACGGCCCACCAAGGCAAAGACGGGUAGGGGGUGUGAGAGCAUGGCCCCCCACAAUGGGACUGGAACACGGCCCAUACUCCUACGGGAGGCAGCAGCAGGGAAUAUUGCACAAUGGACGGAAGUCUGAUGCAGCGACGCCGCGUGGAUGAAGAAGGCCCUCGGGUUGUAAAAUCCUUUACAGGGGGAAGAGGAAGGACGGUACCCCUGGAACAAGUGUCGGCUAACUACGUGCCAGCAGCCGCGGUAAGACGUAGGACACAAGCGUUAUCCGGAUUUACUGGGCGUAAAGCGUCUGCAGGCGGACAGGUAAGUUGGGCGUGAAAGCUCCGGGCCCAACCCGGAGAGGUCGUUCAAUACUGCGUGUCUAGAGGGUGUCAGAGGGGAGUGGAAUUUCCGGAGUAGCGGUUAAAUGCGCAGAGAUCGGAAAGAACACCAAUGGCGAAGGCAGCUCCCUGGGGCAACCCUGACGCUAAGAGACGAAAGCUAGGGGAG
rnacentral:rRNA from 1 species